CAAAAGCUUGGUCCUGACUUUACUAUCAGCUCUGGCCAAACUUACACAUGCAAGUAUCCGCACUCCCGUGAGAAUGCCCCAAUGCUCCUACAACGGAGCCAAGGAGCCGGUAUCAGGCACAACCCCAAGUUAGCCCACGACACCUUGCUUAGCCACACCCCCAAGGGAACUCAGCAGUGAUAAACAUUAAGCCAUAAGUGUAAACUUGACUCAGUUAUAAGCCAAAAGAGCCGGUAAAACUCGUGCCAGCCACCGCGGUUAUACGAGAGGCUCAAGUUGAUAAAAACGGCGUAAAAAGUGGCUAGGAAACAAACAAACUAAAGCCGAACAUCUUCAAAGCCGUCGCACGCAAACGAAGAAAUGAAGUACCUCCACGAAAGUGGCUUUAAACCUCCGAACCCACGAAAGCUAGGGCACAAACUGGGAUUAGAUACCCCACUAUGCCCAGCCCUAAACAAAAGUAGCGCUCCUUACACCCGCUGCUCGCCAGGGAACUACGAGCAUAAGCUUAAAACCCAAAGGACUUGGCGGUGCUUUAGAUCCACCUAGAGGAGCCUGUUCUAGAACCGAUAACCCCCGUUCAACCUCACCCUUUCUUGUUUAUCCCGCCUAUAUACCACCGUCGUCAGCUUACCCUGUGAAGGGCCCAUAGUAAGCAUAACUGGCACAGCCCAACACGUCAGGUCGAGGUGUAGCGCAUGAAAGGGGAAGAAAUGGGCUACAUUCCCUGACACAGUGAACACGAACGACGCAUUGAAACAACCGUCCAAAGGAGGAUUUAGCAGUAAGGAGGAAAACAGAGCGUUCCCCUGAAACCGGCCCUGAAGCGCGCACACACCGCCCGUCACUCUCCCCGACCUAGCACACCAAAGCAAAAGCACACAAAAGCCACCACCAAAGGGGAGGCAAGUCGUAACAUGGUAAGUGUACCGGAAGGUGUACUUGGAAAAA
rnacentral:ncRNA from 1 species